rnacentral:rRNA from 1 species
GACGAACGCUGGCGGCGCGCUUAACACAUGCAAGUCGAGCGAGAACCAGUCCUUCGGGGCUGGGGACAGCGGCGAACGGGUGAGUAACACGUGGGUAAUCUGCCCUCGGCACCGGAAUAGCCCGGGGAAACCCGGAUUAAUGCCGGAUGGCCUCUCUGCCCCUCGGGGCGGCGAGAAAAGGUAGCUUCGGCCUCUGGCCGAGGAUGAGCCCGCGGCCGAUUAGCUUGUUGGUGAGGUAACGGCUCACCAAGGCGACGAUCGGUAGCUGGUCUGAGAGGACGAUCAGCCACACUGGGACUGAGACACGGCCCAGACUCCUACGGGAGGCAGCAGUGGGGAAUCUUGCGCAAUGGGCGAAAGCCUGACGCAGCGACGCCGCGUGCGGGAAGAAGGCCUUCGGGUUGUAAACCGCUUUCAGGAGGGACGAAGCCACUCGGGUGAAUAGCCUAGAGGGUGACGGUACCUCCAGAAGAAGCCCCGGCUAACUACGUGCCAGCCGCCGCGGUAAGAC